CAAGGACAGACCCCUGCGGGACACCAACUCCAGAGUCUGAACAGGGAGAUUUGACACCAUCUACUACCACAUACUGUUUCCUGUGGGACAGGGCACUAUCGGUGGAGUGAUGGGUCCGAAAACCGAACUGUAAUGGAUGUAGUGAAGCCGCCUAUGGUCGUCUUUGGAAAAUGCCCCCCCUCCCCAAAGAGCCUCUUUGGGAUAGCGCAACACUCCAGAGGGUGUCAAGAUGGAGGAACUAAAGGUGGAGGCGGUGAGGUCAUUAGCAGUCCCGAAAACCAGGAACUGCAGAGCUUCAUCCGGUUUGCCAAUUUCAGUAACAGGGAGAUUAACACUAGAGCCGCAAGGCCUUCAGACCCCCAGUAUCUGCAAGAGCCGAACACUGUUUCACGUCAUUAGCAUAUGAAUCGUCCCUAUUAGCAUACACAUUCUCCUCUGCAGCAUCACCAUCCAGCCUGAG